AAGGAGCACUCACUCCAAUUUCCCUGGACUGGGGCAGGCUGCCACCUCCCGGGGACAGGAGAUUGGGGCAGGAUGUUCCAG
rnacentral:miRNA from 1 species